GACGUAGGGCGCGAGCGUUGUCCGGAUUUAUUGGGCGUAAAGAGCUCGUAGGCGGCUUGUCGCGUCGUCCGUGAAAACCUGGGGCUCAACUCCAGGCUUACGGUCGAUACGGGCAGGCUCGAGUUCGGUAGGGGAGACUGGAAUUCCUGGUGUAGCGGUGAAAUGCGCAGAUAUCAGGAGGAACACCGGUGGCGAAGGCGGCGUCCUGGACCAACACUGACACUGAUGAGCGAAAGCCAGGGGAGCAAACGGG
rnacentral:rRNA from 1 species